AACGAACGCUGGCGGCAUGCCUAAUACAUGCAAGUCGAACGAGAUCUUCGGAUCUAGUGGCGCACGGGUGCGUAACGCGUGGGAAUCUGCCCUUGGGUUCGGAAUAACAUCUGGAACGGAUGCUAAUACCGGAUGAUGACGUAAGUCCAAAGAUUUAUCGCCCAAGGAUGAGCCCGCGUAGGAUUAGCUAGUUGGUGAGGUAAAGGCUCACCAAGGCUACGAUCCUUAGCUGGUCUGAGAGGAUGAUCAGCCACACUGGGACUGAGACACGGCCCAGACUCCUACGGGAGGCAGCAGUAGGGAAUAUUGGACAAUGGGGGCAACCCUGAUCCAGCAAUGCCGCGUGAGUGAUGAAGGCCUUAGGGUUGUAAAGCUCUUUUACCCGAGAUGAUAAUGACAGUAUCGGGAGAAUAAGCUCCGGCUAACUCCGUG
rnacentral:rRNA from 1 species